GAAGCGCCUUCCUCCUGCGGCGGGUCAAGGCACGAGGCUGACCCAGCGCGGCACGUUGUCACAGUCUUCCCUCAGUCAGCAGGGUGACGGAGACGAAACCCCUCUCCUCCCCCCGCGCCGGGCCAGGCCCUGCUGGGGCACUCCUGCGGGAAUUCCGCCCUGAAAAAUGAAAAAUUCUGUGCCAACAAAAUAACCAUUCUGUGGAUAAUAUCUUAAAAUUCUGCACAGUUUUGUUAAUGAAUAAAUGUGGAGGCUGCAGCAUGGCAACGGGCUGCACGGAGGUGGCAGAUCACCUUGCGGCUCCCCCACCCAGCCCAGCAGACAGGCGCUCAGGCGGCACUUGACACAGCGCAAGGGCUGGGGUCUGCCCCAGAAACACGCCUGGGCCCUGCCCCUCUGCGCCAGGCACAACAAGAUGACAAGCCAGAGGGACAGAGUCUGGCUUGCACGUCCGAUCCAGGGCAAGAGCAAAUCCCGUCCUCCCCAGUCCAGCUGGGCCGGGACUAGGAGCUGAGCCUGGCACAGGGUAUGAACCACCAAUCACAGCAUCCAUAGCCCUGCCCCCCUCGCUGCUCCAGGCUCUGUGUCAUCACUUGUGAUAGAUCUGAGAAACAAUGGAUAUUGGCUGCCUGCAACAGUCAAUUGCCUAAUUGCCAAAUAAGAGAAACAGUUGCAAAGUGUCCAUAUUUUGAAUGCUUGUUACAUAUUUCACCUUUAGCUGGACACACAUCUCUUGAGCUAUGAAAUUUUCCACAUCUUGUGCAUUUAGCUUGAAAGCAUUUGUAGUCUGCCUGGAAUUUGUCCUUAUCCUCAGGGCUUUUAUGGUAAUGGUUUCUAGCGCUCCUGGUGUGACUGCUUACAGCUUCUAAGCUUAUUUCACAUUUUUCAAAUUGCUCCUGUCUCUUGUUCUGCUGUCUGACUAGUUCUGACCGCAUUGCUAUCUGUGUAGCAGUGGUUAGAUUUAAGUCUGUCUUUAAUUGUGGUUGCUGUGAGAGGUUCUUGUCUGUUAACUCAGUAACUAGCCUGUUUCUGAUAUUUUCUUGUUUUGCAGCCAAAAAAACAAAGUUUUCAGCCAAUGCAAGAAAAUCUCUUAUAAAAGAGUCAACAUUUCUUUUGGUUCCUGAAUUCUCUGGUGCAAACAUACUCUUUCAUAAACCACAUUUCUCUGAGGUAUAAACUAUGCAUCAAACAUAGGCAAAACUCUUUGACUGUCUUCAGUAAAGGUAAAAGAUUUUUUUUAAUGUGCUCUGCUUCCCCAUAGCAUAAAUUAAAGAUGAUACCUGAAUA